CAGGCAAUUUCCUGAAGACCUGUCUAAAGCUGAUUUGCUAACCUGAAGAGAGAUGUCUGCAGGCUCUUUAUCUCUCUGUCUUUGGAGUUCUUGGCUUGUUUUUGUAGCAAUACCAUUGCUACUGCCACCAAUGUACCUUGUGCUAGGCACCGAGGGACUGUUUUAUUCACUUACUGGAUUUGCCCUGCUCUUGUGUGAACAGGUGCGAUUGCAGCUUCCUCCUAUAGACUUAAAACCUAAGCCUUGAAGAGGUGAAGGAACUUGCCCAGCAGGAAAUAGUGAAGCUGUUUUUUUUUUUUAACCUCGGCUCACUGACGCCAGAGCUGCCUUUUACCGACUGCAGAAAAUCAAGAGCAAAGCCUCAGGAGACAGGAGCUAAUGGAAGAGGCAGAGCUAUUAGAAGCUGAGAAUAUCCCUUCUCCUUCUCCUUCUCCACUCCUCCUCCCUCUUGUGGCUGGCAUUCGUUGAACAUUGAACAAAUAUGAAUAUUCAACAUACGAUAGGCACUUCGUUCAUUCUUGUCAACGUGUUUAGUUUCCACCGCCAACAGGAAACAAGGCACUUACCUACUCCACCAGUCAAGAAGAGGCUGAGGAGGAAGCCUAGAAAGCAGCGCUUAAGCAUCAUGGUCACAAGUGCAACUGGCCAGGCAACUGGAGCUCCUUUCAAGCUCAUCCCAGAAGAGGGAACUAUGAAAUAUGCAAGACCCUGUUCUCCUGUGGUUUAGAAAGGAGCUGGACAUCUUCAAACAUUUCAUCUUGAAUUCCAAAUUGAACACCAGACCUAUGGAAAACCGUACGCUUGUAUGGAUGGACCUGCAGUCCCAGCAAUAGGGAUGCUACUUGUCCCUUCUUAUUGGUGAGGAGCUCUUUACUUUCCUGAAGAAGGACCAUGACCUUUCAGCAGUUCUACAUUUUGGAAAUAAUUGGCUUGCAAUUCAAAAUAGUUUGUGGACUCUAAUUCAGAAAAGAAGGAACUUUGUUAUUCAGACAUGGGCAAUAAGCAUAAUAACUGGUCUUUUAAUUUUGUUAAAUUUGUGGACCACGAACACUUUUAGUUGGACCAUCCCUGAUCCAAAAGUGUGAAAUAUGAAAUGUUCCAAAAUCUGAAACUUCUUUAGCACAGACAUGAUACUACAAGUAGAAAUUUCCACACCCAACAUCAUGCGAUGGGUCACACAGGUGUGCUACACAUACUGUGAUAAAAUUACACUUUCAGGCUAUGUAUAUAACGUAUAUAUGAAACAUAAUGGAUUUCAUGUUUAGACUCUGGUCCUAGCCCAAAGAUAUCUCAUUAUGUAUAUGCUCAUGUUCCAAAAUCUGAAACUGUUCUGCUCCCAAGCAUUUCAGAAAAGGGAUACUCAACUUGCAUUUAAAAAUCUCCAUUUGCAAGACCUAGAGCUUCACUAAGUUAACCUUUCUUGAUCUUUGCUCAUACUGUUUUUUUGAAUGAAAGAGGCUACAGAUUUUGAUUGUUCCUGACCAAGGUGCUUCGCUGACCCUGAAAACCCUAUGGAUGUCGUGGGUCCCGAGGCCCACACACAGGCCAUGAUCAUGUGUCUUGAGGCCCAGGGGAGACCUUCAGAGAAGAACCACAGUCUGACCAGCUGUCACUUCCUCCAUUGUAGUCACUUGGGUCUCGGCUACCGUGAUCUCCUGCUUGGCUUGUGGCCACAGCCUCCUGACUGGUCUCCCUGUCUCUGCCACUGGCCUUCGCCACAGGCAGAACGUUCCCUUUAAAUGUGAAAUUAGAUAAUUUUCUCAGAACCUUUGCAUGUCUUCCCACUUCACUCAGAAUGAAAGUCAAAAUGUUAUGGUCUCUUGCUGGGCCCUGUUACACUCCUAACCUGCAUCGCUCCAGCCUGGGUGGCCUUUUGCACAUUUCUUGAAUAUCCCAGGCCUGUACCACACCAGCACGGUGCCCUCUGCUUGAAUGCUUUUCCUGAGAUGCCCAGGUUCCUCCUCAUGCCCUUAUCUUUAUUCAAAUAUUACCUUAGUAGUGGAUCCCCUGUGGCCACCCUAAAUAGCAGCACUUCUUCCCACCACCCAUCUGCCUUACCUGCUUUAUUGUCUCUGUAACACCAUCAUUUGAGAGGGUAUGCUUGAUUUUACUCCCACUGUCCGUGCCCUCCAUUAGAAUAUAAACUGCAGGAGGUCAGGCACCUUGCACAUUAUGUCUCUUGCUUUAGCUCCCCCAUCCCAUGUAGGGAGGAGCUUGCCACGAAGGUUGUGCUGGGCAAGUAUCCAGAGCCUCCGUGGACGGGAAUGUGGUGCUAUCCAUUAAAAAUCUCCAUUUGCAAGACCUAGAGCUUCACUAAGUUAACCUUUGCAUGCCAGACGCUGUAGAACAGGAGGGUGCUUCUCUGCUUUUCAUGAUCUGAUGGGAAUUCCAAGGGAAGGGGCUAAGAUUCUCUGGCCCAGGUCACCAGGUUCUUGCAGACAUUGAAAGCAACUUCAUGGGCAACACUGGCCUCUGCAGUUAUGUGGCUGCACAGCCAACUCUUCAGUUGGACAAUUUAAUCUGUGUGACCCAGGAAUUACCUGUUUCUGAAGAGCUGGAGAGAUUUCCCCAGGAAAUCACUUGAGUGGUCUUGUAGGUGGUGGUAGUGGGGUGCAUGGGAGAAUUUCUUUGGUAAUUUUCUCAAUUUAACUCUUCCAUGGUAAUUAGGGUUUUUUGUUUUUUUUUUUUUAGGAUUUUCUGUCUCAUCUAGAUUCACUUUCUGCAAAUUGUACUUUCUUCAUCCAUUUACAUGCGGUUACAUUUACUUGCAUAGAAUUGAGAAAUUGGUCCUUAAUCAAUUUCUCAUUUCUGUGGUUUCUCUUUUGGCUUCCUAUUUUGAAUAAUGAUAUUUUCUUCGUGUUUUAUUAUUUGUAGGAAUUAUUUUUAAAGAUGUUUUCAAGGAGCCAUGUUUUGUAAUUAUUCAUGAGUUCUAAUUUUAAAAAUUUAUGUAUCACUUUUAUCCUUUACCUUUUCACAUUCCUUCCAAUUUGUUUAAGUAAAACUCUCAUCAGAUGUUUACUUCACUUGAUUUUUUCCAAUAUGUGUUCACACUGGGAAUUUAGUCUGAAACGUACCCCACAGCUUCUCCUUUGGCUCUGAAUUGUAUUUUCACUAUUUUUUUUUUUUUUUUUAUCAAUUCUACAAUUUGGAUUCUUUUUUCUGACUCAAGCGUUUUAAGUAGAGAAUUAAAAACAAAAUUUCCAAGUGGAAGAACUAUUUAAUUUUUUAAUUUUCACUGUUGCUUUUUCAUGAUUUCCAGAGAAGCAAAAAAGGCUGAUUUAUACCACUAUUCCCAAUUUGGAAAUCUCAUCUUACUGCUUUGAUUUCUGGGAGUUGAAGACAGACAGACAGAUUAACAUCAUUUGAUUUGCUAGUUAAUUGAUAACUCAAGGACAGAGAUAAUGGAAAACAAGACAGAAAACCUAAUACAAAAACAACAAAGGUAAAGUGUCAGUCCAACAAGACGCAGUUUGCAAAUGAAAACUGAAAAUUUGCAUGAACUUCUUAGUAAGGAAAACACCUUUCGCCUUUUAAAAUAGUGACUAGAAGCCUGUUUUUAGUGUAGCACUAUGUAAUCAUUAUAAUUUAUGACAUUCUAUUUCCAGAUGACCCUGGGGUUAUUUUGGGAUGUCACUUCCCGAUGACAAAAUUAAAUAAAGCAUGACAUAUAUUUGUGUUGUUCAUGGCAA